rnacentral:rRNA from 1 species
AGAGCACUCCUACGGGAGGCAGCAGUGGGGAAUAUUGCACAAUGGGCGCAAGCCUGAUGCAGCCAUGCCGCGUGUAUGAAGAAGGCCUUCGGGUUGUAAAGUACUUUCAGCAGUGAGGAAGGUGGGUAUGGUUAAUAGCAUACUCAUUUGACGUUAGCUGCAGAAGAAGCACCGGCUAACUCCGUGCCAGCAGCCGCGGUAAUACGGAGGGUGCGAGCGUUAAUCGGAAUUACUGGGCGUAAAGCGCAUGCAGGUGGUUUGUUAAGUCAGAUGUGAAAGCCCGGGGCUCAACCUCGGAAUUGCAUUUGAAACUGGCAAACUAGAGUACUGUAGAGGGGGUAGGAAUUUCAGGUGUAGCGGUGAAAUGCGUAGAGAUCUGAAGGAAUACCGGUGGCGAAGGCGGCCCCCUGGACAGAUACUGACACUCAGAUGCGAAAGCGUGGGGAGCAAACAGGAUUAGAUACCCUGGAG